GAAAUUCGUAGAUAUUGGGAAGAACACCGGUGGCGAAGGCGGCAACCUGGCUCAUGACUGACGCUGAGGCGCGAAAGCGUGGGGAGCAAACAGGAUUAG
rnacentral:rRNA from 1 species